rnacentral:lncRNA from 1 species
UUCAACAAAAGGAUCAGUUCUUGGCCUAACAUGCUUUCUCGUGUUCUGUUUCUUCUCUUUUGGAACAUCAUUUUCCUCAUUCUCAUCAUCAGAGUCCAACUCCUCAAUAACAAGGCCCCUAGACCUAGGCUGCUGGAAGGGAGCAGAAGGUUGUUGGGAGAGUGCAGAAGGCUGUUGGAAAGGGAAAGAAGGUUGUUGUUCUAGAAAUCCAGACAUGUGCGAGUCCAUGACCGGGCCUCCCCUAGGACCAGAAGGGGUCGACCCAAAGAUGCCUCCAAAUGGGUUUGUGAAGAAAGGAUCAUCAAAUGGGUCUCUGCCUCCAAAAAAACCAGAUAAUAAA